rnacentral:rRNA from 1 species
GACGUAGGGCGCGAGCGUUGUCCGGAAUUAUUGGGCGUAAAGAGCUCGUAGGCGGUUUGUCGCGUCGAAUGUGAAAACCCGGGGCUCAACCCCGGGCCUGCAUUCGAUACGGGCAGACUAGAGUUCGGUAGGGGAGUCUGGAAUUCCUGGUGUAGCGGUGAAAUGCGCAGAUAUCGGGAAGAACACCCGUGGCGAAGGCGGCUCUCUGGGACGGUACUGACGCUGAGACGCGAAAGCGUGGGGAGCGAACAGG